rnacentral:rRNA from 1 species
AUUGAACGCUGGCGGCAGGCUUAACACAUGCAAGUCGAGCGGGGGAAGGUAGCUUGCUACCGGACCUAGCGGCGGACGGGUGAGUAAUGCUUAGGAAUCUGCCUAUUAGUGGGGGACAACAUCUCGAAAGGGAUGCUAAUACCGCAUACGUCCUACGGGAGAAAGCAGGGGAUCUUCGGACCUUGCGCUAAUAGAUGAGCCUAAGUCGGAUUAGCUAGUUGGUGGGGUAAAGGCCUACCAAGGCGACGAUCUGUAGCGGGUCUGAGAGGAUGAUCCGCCACAGUGGGACUGAGACACGGCCCAGACUCCUACGGGAGGCAGCAGUGGGGAAUAUUGGACAAUGGGGGGAACCCUGAUCCAGCCGUGCCGCGUGUGUGAAGAAGGCCUUAUGGUUGUAAAGCACUUUAAGCGAGGAGGAGGCUACUUUAGUUAAUACCUAGAGAUAGUGGACGUUACUCGCAGAAUAAGCACCGGCUAACUCUGUGCCAGCCGCCGCGGUAA